CAGAUAACGACAAUUGGUCAAGGGGACAUUGCAUUGAACAAGGAAAAUGUGGUGCCUAAUGAAGAUAGUGAGUGGUUAAAUAGAAAUGACACAUACCAAAGAGCAUCAAUUGAUUUGCCAUCCCAGGGGCAAGAAAACCUCAUGACUGAUAUUAUUGCCAUCAACAAUUGCAGUAAUGAUGGGCCCACAUCAUCGAUGAUUCAACCACAACCCAUAGAUUCCAAAGAGCGGAAGAGGCUACGGGAUAGGGAACGAUAUGCAUUGAUGGAUAGCAAGAAAAAAGGUGAACUUCUAAAAAGACAGCGUGAAGCAAGGAAAU